CAGCAGCCGCGGUAAUACGUAGGUGGCAAGCGUUGUCCGGAAUUAUUGGGCGUAAAGCGCGCGCAGGCGGUUCCUUAAGUCUGAUGUGAAAUCUCGCGGCUCAACCGCGAGCGGCCAUUGGAAACUGGGGAACUUGAGUGCAGGAGAGGGGAGCGGAAUUCCACGUGUAGCGGUGAAAUGCGUAGAGAUGGGGAGGAACACCAGUGGCGAAGGCGGCUCUCUGGCCUGUAACUGACGCUGAGGCGCGAAAGCGUGGGGAGCGAACAGGAUUAGAUACCCUGGUAGUCCACGCCGUAAACGAUGAGUGCUAAGUGUUAGAGGGUAUCCACCCUUUAGUGCUGCAGCAAACGCAUUAAGCACUCCGCCUGGGGAGUACGGCCGCAAGGCUGAAACUUAAAGGAAUUGGCGGG
rnacentral:rRNA from 1 species